rnacentral:misc_RNA from 1 species
UGCAUUUCGAAUUUUUGGUUUUCUUCUACGGAGAAUAACCCGUCUGGUAAUACAAGAGCUGCAGUUAGGGCAAUACAAAUCAUGAGUAUUUUGCUUCUCUAAUACCCUCUCAACAUCUAAUUCUGUCUCUUCCUGGUCAGUUUCUUCUAUUUUAUCAAAAUCUCCUUCUAGUAUAGUUUCAUUGUUGAUAGGCUUGGAUUUUAUAUUUUGCUCUUCAUGUGACUCCUCUAAAGGUGUUAAACUUGAACCAGAAAAACCUUCAUCAUCAAAAUUUUCACCAUAU